GCGGGUCUGCGACGGGCUGGAGGUCGCCUCCGGCGGCGAACUGGCCCUGGCCGAGGCGGCCGGGGCCCGCCGGAUCGUGUUCGGCGGCCCGGCC
rnacentral:tRNA from 1 species